AUUCAGCUGAGGAGUCCCAAAUAGGACGAAACGCGCGUCCUGGAU
rnacentral:hammerhead_ribozyme from 1 species